CUGGGAUUACAGGCGUGAGCCACUGCGACCGGCCCAAAGUUAACCUUCUGUCGAACGGUUUAUAUCUGGAAAGGUGGGUGAGGAAAGGGUGACCUAGGGGAUUGCAAAAUAGAUUAUUGCAGAUCCUACCUUUGUGAGCUUUUUGAAUGAGGCUAUAAAGGAAUUUAAAAAUCAGAUUCAACACUAAUUCCGAAACCCCUCACUUCAUUCAGGGUGUGGGCCGAAGAUAUGCUCAUGUGGUGUUGAGGAAAGCAGACAUUGACCUCACCAAGAGGGCGGGAGAACUCACUGAGGAUGAGGUGGAACGUGUGAUCACCAUUAUGCAGAAUCCACGCCAGUACAAGAUCCCAGACUGGUUCUUGAACAGACAGAAGGAUGUAAAGGAUGGGAAAUACAGCCAGGUGUGUACUGAAAUGAGGGCAGGAUUAGAGGAAGGGUGGAGGGUCCUAACAGAAUUGGGCAUAGGAGGUCAGGGGAUAAAACAUCCCUUGCCCCCUCCUCUGAAUCCAGGUCCUAGCCAAUGGUCUGGACAACAAGCUCCGUGAAGACCUGGAGCGACUGAAGAAGAUUCGGGCCCAUAGAGGGCUGCGUCACUUCUGGGGGUGAGUGGGGGGUCUCAUCUCCCUGCCUACCUCGACUCAGCAUUCCUCCUACUCGCUCUUCUUUUUCCCCAACCUUUUGUUUCUGCUGUGCAUGACCUGUGACCCUUCUCUUUUUACCUGCAGCCUUCGUGUCCGAGGCCAGCACACCAAGACCACUGGCCGCCGUGGCCGCACCGUGGGUGUGUCCAAGAAGAAAUAAGUCUGUAGGCCUUGUCUGUUAAUAAAUAGUUUAUAUACCUAUGG
rnacentral:sRNA from 1 species